rnacentral:rRNA from 1 species
GAUGAACGCUAGCUACAGGCUUAACACAUGCAAGUCGAGGGACCGGCGCACGGGUGAGUAACACGUAUCCACCCUGCCCUUUACUCGGGGAUAGCCUUUCGAAAGAAAGAUUAAUACCCGAUCUAAUGGCUGGGGAUGCGUUCCUUUGGGUUGUUGGUGAGGUAACGGCCAACCAAGCCUUCGAUGGAUAGGGGUUAUGAGAGGAAGGUACACUAGAAUGGAACUGAGGCACGGUCCAAACUCCGAGGCGGGGCGGGAGAGAAGAACAUUAGGGAAUGGGCGUUAGCCUGACCCAGCCAAGUAGCGGAAAGGAUGAAGGGUUAUUGAUCGUAAACGUCUUUUGUAUAAGAAGAUGUAUUAUAUGAAUAAGGAUCGGCUAACUCCGUGCCAGCAGCCGCGGUAAUAC